rnacentral:rRNA from 1 species
GACGAACGCUGGCGGCGUGCUUAACACAUGCAAGUCGAACGGAAAGGCCUGCUUUCCCUUGUGGAUUGCGGGUACUCGAGUGGAGAACGGGUGAGUAACACGUGAGUGAUCUGCCCCCAACUUGGGUAUAAGCCUGGGAAACUGGGUCUAAUUCCCGAUAGGACUGCAGGGUGGUGCCUGUGGUGGAAAACGAUUUUCUAGUGGUUGGGGAUGAGCUCGCGGCCUAUCAGCUUGUUGGUGGGGUAAUGGCCUACCAAGGCGGCGACGGGUAGCCGGCCUGAGAGGGUGGACGGCCACAUUGGGACUGAGAUACGGCCCAGACUCCUACGGGAGGCAGCAGUGGGGAAUAUUACACAAUGGGCGGAAGCCUGAUGCAGCGACGCCGCGUGGGGGAUGACGGCCUUCGGGUUGUAAACUCCUUUCGACCGCGAGGAAGCCACCUGGUUGGAAGGGUGGUGACGGUAGUGGUAGAAGAAGCACCGGCUAACUACGUG